rnacentral:rRNA from 1 species
UAACAAGGAUUCCCUCAGUAACGGCGAGUGAAGCGGGAAGAGCUCAAAUUUAAAAUCUGGUUUGCUUGCAAGCCCGAGUUGUAGUCUGAAGAAACGUUUUCCAUAAGCACUGAGGCAAAAGUCCCUUGGAACAGGGCAUCAUAGAGGGUGAGAAUCCCGUCCAUGGUCUCAAGUUGUUUAUUUUGUGAUACGUUUUCAAAGAGUCAGGUUGUUUGGGAAUGCAGCCUAAAAUGGGUGGUAAAUUUCAUCUAAAGCUAAAUAUUGGCGAGAGACCGAUAGCGAACAAGUACCGUGAGGGAAAGAUGAAAAGAACUUUGAAAAGAGAGUUAAACAGUACGUGAAAUUGUUGAAAGGGAACCGUUUGAAGCCAGUCUUACUUGCCUGUGAUCAAUUUUUGCCUCGGCAUGAAUGCACUCUCGGGUAUGGUAGGCCAACGACAGUUUGGAAUGCGAGAAAAAAAUAAGGGAAAUGUGGCCUUCGGGUGUUAUAGUCCCUUAUAAAAUAUCGUGUUCUGGACUGAGGAUCGCAGCAAAAACGUGGGCAGGUGGAUUUCUGUGGUAACUGUCGGUUAGGACAACUUGUUGACCUAGUCUUCCUUAGCCUCACUAUUUACCUCGCUUCUAAUUUGCUUAGGUCGUUGGCAUAAUGGCUUUAAAUGACCCGUCUUG